GAUGAACGCUGGCGGCGUGCCUAAUACAUGCAAGUCGAGCGAACAGACGAGGAGCUUGCUCCUCUGACGUUAGCGGCGGAAGGGUGAGUAACACGUGGAUAACCUACCUAUAAGACUGGGAUAACUUCGGGAAACCGGAGCUAAUACCGGAUAACAUGUUGAACCGCAUGGUUCAACAGUGAAAGACGGUUUUGCUGUCACUUAUAGAUGGAUCCGCGUCGCAUUAGCUAGUUGGUAAGGUAACGGCUUACCAAGGCAACGAUGCGUAGCCGACCUGAGAGGGUGUACGGCCACACUGGAACUGAGACACGGUCCAGACUCCUACGGGAGGCAGCAGUAGGGAAUCUUCCGCAAUGGGCGAAAUCCUGACGGAGCAACGCCGCGUGAGUGAAGAAGGUCUUCGGAUCGUAAAACUCUGUUAUUAGGGAAGAACACAUGUGUAAGUAACUAUGCACGUCUUGACGGUACCUAAUCAGAAAGCCACGGCUAACUACGUG
rnacentral:rRNA from 1 species